rnacentral:rRNA from 1 species
GUUUGAUCUUAGCUCCAAAUUAACACUAAAAGAAAUUAUAAUGCAUGCAAGUUAACACUUUCUAGAGUAGCAUACCGGUGAGUACCUAUAGGAAAGUUGUUUAUAGCCUAGGUUUACUACCUUGUAAUAGAUUUAUCGGCUAAAAAGAUGCCUAUGCAAAAUUAAGCCUUUGAAAGUAAAUUAAUCAAGCUUAUAAUUUUUAGUUAAUUUUAACGAAUUUAAACCACAUUAGAGCUGAAAAAGAUCUAAACUAAAACACUUUAGGCCGCAGCAUAAAAUAUUGGACAAUAAGGAAAACCUUGAUCCAAAAAUUCUUUCUUUGGGUAUAAAACAAUUUAAUCAAAGUAUAAACCGACAAUAUUAACAAAAAAAAGAUUUUUUAAAAAAAGUUUUGGCUAAUUUUUGUGCCAGCAGUCGCGGUAAAACAAAAAAAACGAGUGUUAUUUAAACUUAUUAGGCAUAAAAAGUUUCUAAGUCGUAAUAUUAGGUUACAAAUAUAUAGUUUUAAAUUAUAUUUAAAUAAAAAUUAGCUGCAUUUACUUGAGUUUGCUAAAAAAUAAUAGAAUUAAAAAAAAAGAAAUUAAAUUCUCUGAGCUUUUUAAGAAUGCCAAAGGAUAGAUAUAAUUAUUUAUUACAUACUAACGCCUAUAAAACUAAAGGACUUGUAACAAACUGGAUUAGAUACCCAGGUAGUAUUUUUUCCUAUAAACAAUAAAUACAUUUUUAAGUAACUUUAAAACCAAUAAAUAUUUAGUAUUUUGCCUGAGAACUACGAUCGCAAGAUUAAAACUCAAAAGAAUUGACAGAAAAAUAAAAUCGCAGUGAAUUAUGUGGUUUAAUGCGACACACACGCAAAAUCUUACCUAUUUUUGUUUUUAAGUAACAGGGUUGCAUGGCUAUUUCUAGCUCGGUAUUGUGAAACAUAAGAUUUAUUUCUUUAAACGAACGAAACCUUUUUGCGUACUUUCUAAAAUGUAGGCUGUAUGUAGUUAUAUAGAAAUUAUAUACGAAAAAAAAUAACAAUAAGUCUUCAUGAUCCUUAUAAAUAGGGCUACUUCAUGUAAUACAAUAAAUAAACAGAAUUCAUUUAGUUAGUAAUAUUACUAAUUUAAAUAAUUUUAUUGUACUAAUUAGCGUCUGUAAUUUGAUGCUAUGCUGCUGGAAUUGCAUGUAAUCGUGUAUAAGAAAGAUACGGUGAAUAAAUUAAUAUUUUUUGUACAUACUGCCUGUCAGAUUCUAAAAAAAGUAAAGCAUAAAG